GAUGAACGCUGGCGGCGUGCCUAAUACAUGCAAGUCGAGCGAACAGACGAGGAGCUUGCUCCUCUGACGUUAGCGGCGGACGGGUGAGUAACACGUGGAUAACCUACCUAUAAGACUGGGAUAACUUCGGGAAACCGGCGCUAAUACCGGAUAAUAUAUUGAACCGCAUGGUUCAAUAGUGAAAGACGGUUUUGCUGUCACUUAUAGAUGGAUCCGCGCCGCAUUAGCUAGUUGGUAAGGUAACGGCUUACCAAGGCAACGAUGCGUAGCCGACCUGAGAGGGUGAUCGGCCACACUGGAACUGAGACACGGUCCAGACUCCUACGGGAGGCAGCAGUAGGGAAUCUGCCGCAAAGGGCGAAAGCCUGACGGAGCAACGCCGCGUGAGUGAUGAAGGUCUUCGGAUCGUAAAACUCUGUUAUGAGGGAAGAACAAAUGUGUAAGUAACUAUGCACGUCUUGACGGUACCGAAUCAGAAAGCCACGGCUAACUACGUG
rnacentral:rRNA from 1 species